rnacentral:tRNA from 1 species
GCGGGUGUAGUGUAGUCUGGUAUCACUUAAGCUUGCCAGGCCGUAGACAGCUUAUAACUCGGGUUCAAAUCCCGGCUCCCGCA